CCACAGCGAUGUGGUCUCAGCAAAGAGUCCCUCCCGACUGUUUACCAAAAACACAGCACUUUGCCAACUCGUAAGAGGAAGUAUAAGGUGUGACGCCUGCCCGGUGCUCGAAGGUUAAGAGGAUGCGUCAGUCGCAAGAUGAAGCGUUGAAUUGAAGCCCGAGUAAACGGCGGCCGUAACUAUAACGGUCCUAAGGUAGCGAAAUUCCUUGUCGGUUAAAUACCGACCUGCAUGAAUGGCGUAACGAGAUGGGAGCUGUCUCAACCAGAGAUUCAGUGAAAUUGUAGUGGAGGUGAAAAUUCCUCCUACCCGCGGCAAGACGGAAAGACCCCGUGGACCUUUACUACAACUUAGCACUGCUAAUGGGAAUAUCAUGCGCAGGAUAGGUGGGAGGCUUUGAAGUAAAGGCUUUGGCUCUUAUGAG
rnacentral:rRNA from 1 species